rnacentral:rRNA from 1 species
GCCAGCAGCCAUAUCACCCUGCAACUCACAACUUGCAACCUACUGAAGCUAAGCAGGUGUGAGCCUGGUCAGUACCUCGAUAGGAAAACUCCUGGGAAAAACUAAGGUUGCUGCUGGAA